AAGGGAGACCUAAUUCAGGUAUGGGACGAAAAAAAAGUAGUCGCUACCAAGAAUCAAUCCCAAAAGGUCGGAGCGAGGUAUGAGGCUUUCAAACUAGGUUCUGGGUUCAAACAAGACCUGAAUCAGGAACAAGGGCUAUUAGCUCAGGUGGUUAGAGCGCACCCCUGAUAAGGGUGAGGUCCCUGGUUCGAGUCCAGGAUGGCCCACCUGCACAGGUGGCAAAAACAAGAGAAGCUCCGAAUCAGCACCUUAUCUUAUCUAUAUAUAAGAGAGAAUGCUGGCUCUGAGUACAGAGUCCAGAGGAACCUUGAAAACUGCAUAGAGCUAGGUGAAAAAGCCAAAAAAGAAGACCGCAA
rnacentral:tRNA from 2 species